rnacentral:misc_RNA from 1 species
AUCUGCAAAUUUAACAAAGCUCCUUUAAGGUUUGUUUGGUUGCCGAGAAGACGUCUAUAGUUUGCUUAUGAACCUUUGGAUUCCUUGUUAUCUGAUUUGUUAUUGAUAACUUAUUGUUUUUUCUUUUUCUUCCCUUUCAAUUUAACUGUGUAGUUUUAAGGCGUUGCACAUGGCGGAUGAGACGACGAUCGCGAACGGUGUCGCUUCAGAGAAUGACGAUCAGACGGCUGAGAGCUUCUACGAUGUUGAUCAGCGCGAGAACGAAGCCAAGCUGAAGCGAAAGAUCGAAGCCUUAGAGAAGGAGAGAUUCUCCCUGGACAAUGAAAACAAAGAAAUCAAAGAUCAGAUGCUGCAAUUGACGGCGGAGAUCGAAUCACUGAGAUCCGGAGAGUCCGAGCUGAAACUCAGGCUGGAAGCAAUAGGGGA